GUGUGGAUGGCAGCGUAGUUCUCCUUUGGCGAGACAGGAGAGGGCAUGCAAUGCAUGCAAGUGCAGAUUACCCUUGUCUCUUGCCAAAGGAGAAUUGCCCUGCCAUUCACCU
rnacentral:pre_miRNA from 1 species